UAUAGCUAGAAGUUACUAUCGCAAGGAAAGUGCUGCCUCACCCCCAAGGGAUCAAAGGCAGCAUGCAGAAUUUGCUGAAUAAGGGUCAGUUUAUAUGAUCCUGCUUUGCCGUAUUACUUGUAAAAUAAAUUACUGUGCACGAUUCAACAAAAAACUACAUAGUUAACUGUAAACUAAAGGUUGUUCAAGGAGCAAUAAUAAUCUUUUUGAACUACAACAUUUGAAUUCUGUUGACUUAUUUCAAUACAUUAAAAUCACCCCGCCUUCCAAUAUUUACAGUAAACAGCCCCUAAGACACCUGUUCAUGAGGUAGGAAAAGUGCAACUUGAAUAUCAAACACCUUGCACAAAGUCAAAGGUCAGCUAAAUAUUCUAUUUCUACUUUCUUGGCAUUGGGCAGUUUUAUAUGAAUACCUUCAAUGCUUAUAAUUUCUUGUUUUUGUAUAUAUAAUUACAAUACUGUCUGUGGCAAAGCUAGCCAUACCAAAAGGUCAUAAACUAUGCAAAUUUGUAAUUAUUUGCAUUAUUCAAAUAUGCAGGUUUAUAAUAUACCAGUUGCCAUGGCUAGCUAGCCACUGAAUACUGUAUAAUAUCAUAUGCACAAUGUGUCUCAAAAAAAGUGAACCUUUCAAAUUUGACAGCUCUAAUUGCUUUGAAUUAAUGAUUGGGUAAGAACACAAGAUCUUGUACUCAUGGGACAAAACUCAAAGAAAUAAAAAUUAGAAAAUUCAGUUAAAAGAAAUACAGUAUACCUUGUGUUCUUACCCAACUAUUAAUUCAAUGCAAUUAGACUGCUGUCAAAUUACUACAAUACGUUAUAGCUAAUUUGAAUUUGAAAGGGUUCACUUUUUUUUUAGACACACUGUAGAAAUACUAAGUCUGUUUUUCCCAAUUAUUAUUUACAUUGGCAUCUUCAAGGCUACCCCUAUUGCAAAUCAACCGAACAAUCUGAUGGGGAGACAAAAUCUAUUUUUAAUUAAUAUGUCAGCUUCAGAUGACACCAUUCAUUGUACUCAGUCAGAGAUUGUACUCAGUCAGAACUGCAAAACUAUAUAAUAAGAAAGAAAUUGUGAGCAUUAUCGCAGAAUAUUCUUGGGUUUCAUAUGACGUCACAGAAGUGACGGGGGGUCAACUCAAAAACAAAACACAAUUAUCAGAGUGAGUCGAUUGUUUGUUUUAUGUAUUAGCCUUGUGUUUGGUGGCAAUACAUGGAAUUUCGUAUCAUUUUCUCACUCCAAUACAGCAUAAGCAUCAAUACACUUGAGGUUGAC